UUCUAGGGAAGCAAAAGAAGGCCAGCUUCAGCACUGGCAAACACAAGACAAGAGGAGUGCUAGACUACAUCCAUUCAGAUUUAUGGGGUCCCUCUAAACUUCCAUCGAAGGGCAAAAAGAGCAUUUAAAGAGUGGAAGAUUUUGGUUGAAAAUCAAAUGGAGCGGAAAAUCAAGUAUCUUCGCACAGACAAUGGCUUGGAGUUUUGCAAUGAAGAGUUUAAUGAAUUCUGCAAGGUUCAUGGGAUCUCAAGACAUAGGACUGUCA